AGUGUGAAGCCUCCAUAUGUGAAGGUGGGAUCCAUUUUCCCAGCCAGACUACAUGUGUCAAUACAGUUCAUCCCUCAAACUGUCAUCAACUGACUAUUUAGGACUUACUAGUUAAAAUCAAAAGCUUAAAGUGCUACCUGAAAGCCAGGAGGCAGCAAUCCCAACCAAGAAACAAUAGGACUAAAAUAGCAAUAGGAAUAUCAAGUUUUGUUACAGUGUGUCAACUGUGUCCUGAGUGUCACCUGCUUCCCUUUAGCAUCAUUGAAGACAUUUCCUUUGUUUGCUAUGGAGAUCCCAUUGUGGCCCAGAAGGGAAUGAUAAAUGAUAUAGAAGAGAUAAUGUCUAGCAAGGAGAAACCAGGAGUACCCACAGGCAGACUUGGAAACACUGAAUAAGGAUCAGCAGUGACAGAAAAGAGCUGUGGUGCAUGAUAGGAACAGAGUCUACCCAAGGCUUCACAGCAAGUAGGAAAAAAAUUUAAUUUCUUAUUUCCAAUAUGGGAACAGGACAUAGCUGUCAUGGAGAACAAAAAGGCAGAUGGUGGAGCAGCAACAAAGAGCUCUGUCCCACUUCCAGAGGAGAGACUUUCAAGUACACCAGACAUCAGAGUGAUGGCUGGGACUGUACAAUGUACUCUGCCCAACCAUGCAGAGAGGCUGCCUCUCUUCAAACACACCACAGCUACGACUCCAUGUGCUGGUUCCAGCUCAGCCACAAGAAGUAUUUAACAUCAGCAGAAGAUAUAUCUCUACAAACAGUUUAUUACAUCCAGCAGCGUGCAAUCUCACACACCAGUCUGCUUUUUCCCAGCUAGAGACAUUUGAGAUCCCUGGAGAUCUUUCGGCAUCAGAUCCACACAUCUUGCUUACCUGUUAGCAGUGGGAGCUUGCACCAGCCACACAGGCCAGUGUCAGCAAAAGUUAUUGAAGAAAUCCUUUUCCUUUAGAGGGCAGGCAAAGACUGAGUACAACUCAUGUCUUCAGGGUCUGGAUUCAUGCACACAGUGCACUGAAACCAGCAAUAUAUAAGUUGAAUGCUUUUAAGAUUGCCAUUCUGGUAAGAAAAAGGCAGGGAAGAGAAAAUCCCUAAAUUCUUUGCAGUGAAUUUAAUAACUCCAACAUUUACACUCAUCCUAUGUGAUAGCAUGUCUAUCAGAAGAAAAUAUUGCUAAUAUGAUAAAAUAAGGCACCUGGAAAUUAGGAAAAGGCAACACUAAGUUAUGAGUUGUGUGAUGGCAUAUGUACUUCUGAGCAAUGUCCAAGGCCCCCUAUGACAAUAGGAAGCUGUCCCUUAGAUCAGUCUUCCCUUGUUUUUUUCUGUAAGGCAAGGACUGUUCAAUAUUUAGAAAUAUUUAUACAGACCAACAAACCCACAGCAGUUUUAGUUUAUAAAAGCAAUUGUCAUUAGAUAUUUUAUUUUUAGCCUUGCUUCUGUGGACAGAUGCAUUUUUUUAAUAAAUUGUCUUAAUGGAUUAUGACCUAAUAUUUUCUCAUAUUUUACAGCCUUCCAGACUGAUUGAAUUUCAGGCUAAAAGGGUAGCUUUGUAGAUUACUCUUACCUCAUACUACAGAAUGAGGUAAAAUGAUGUGAUGAUGUAAGUCGAUGGUCUUCCUUUAUCUCUGUCCCGAAGUGACGCUAAGCUAAUUAAUUAAAUGAAGUUUUCUGCAAGUAAAUAGUCCCCAGUCCCACACUCUUCUUAACAUGUAAUGUUCUGUGAGUUCAGUCACAGAAUCACAGAGCAAUUCAGGCUGAAAGGCACUUCAUGAAGUCUCUAGUCUGACCUCCUGCUCAAAGCUGGUUUAUACAAGUAUUAACCUGAACUACAGCUGUAAGUAUGUGAAAAGGUUCCCCAGAAGCCAUUCUUGAAGCUCCUUCUGAUGUGCAGUGUUCAAAAUUGCAUGAGCUACUGUGAAGUGUUGCAUUAUCCUGCCUCUGGGUGUCAGCAUUUGCCCUCAUUUGGAGAGGCAAAUCACUUGUCUCUAAAGAACCAUGAAGCCAGACAGAUUCCAGUUAUCAUUCUGAAUUUGCCUGAAGUUUGAUCUGGCUUAUAAGAACUUUCAAGAAAGCUAGAAUAAUCAAGAUAAAUCAGAAAAUUACAUUCUCUGUGCGAUUGAGAAGGGUUUUUUUUUCAGGAUUUCACUUCUACGAUGAAAGGGAGAUUCAAUUCUGAAUUCACCUUUUCCCCUAGCAUUAAUACAGCAAGACUUGAGCAAGAAAAAAGAAAAGAGAAGAAAUAGAACAGAUUUGAGCAGCUGCUGUGCUACCCACUUACAGAUGAUAAACAAUCAGAUAAGCAAAAGUUAUACACAGCUUUUCAUUUUAAGCUAAAGCUUACCUCUGGAGACAAGAUUUGCAUGAGGCUGCAUUAUUCCAGGUGUCAUUAUGGCCAGGCGGUGGAGACAAAAGCUAUAGAAAGACCAUUUAGCUCUUCACCAGUGUAGUCAGAGUCAAGGCCAUCAUGGGGAAGAAGAGCAGCAGAGUAAAGAAGGAAGAGAACAGUGGAUAUUUAAAUGGAAGGACCAUAAUUCCUAUCUAAUGCAGCAAACCUUCAGCCUCUCUCCUGGUGCACACAGUAAGGUCUCAAACCCUUCAGGGCCACAGUGUGGCUUCUGAGGGUCAGUCACAGAGGGUUCCUCAUAACAUCCAAAUCUCAGAGACACCCAAAAGAUUUGAAGGAGCUCAACACCCCAUGGGACCAGUUCUCUGCUUUCCUGGAGCUCCUGAUAUGUGAGCUUGGAGGCAUUGUCAAAAUUUCUCCAGAUCCCAGGAACUGGGUAUAAGCAUAUCCUGUGGAAAUCUGUCUGCCUAGAUUUUGCUUAUUAUUUAGACACAUUCUGACACAGAAUAAUAAAAUAUUUCGGGUUGGAAGUCCUGCUCAUUUCAGGACUAGGUAAAAUUUAAAACUAUGACUAAGAGCACCCUCCAGACAGUUCUUGAACUCCAGCCAGCUUGGUGCCAUGACCACUUCUCUGAGUAGGCUCUUCCAGUGAUUGGCCACUUCCUUAGGGGAGAAACUUUUCCUAAUGUCCAAUCUGAACCUGCCGGGACACAGCUUCCCUCCAUUUCCUUGUGUCCUAUUGCUGGUCACCAGAGAGAGAUUGGCACCUCUCCCUCCACUGCAUUCCCUGAGGAAGUUGCAGGCUGUGAUAAGAUCACUCUUCAGCCUUCCUUUCUUCAAGCUGUGCCAACUAAGAGACUUCAGCCACUGCUUGUAAGUCUUGCCCUUGGGGACUUUCAACACCUUGGUGGCCCUUCUCUGGACACUCUCUAAAACUUUGUACUGUGGAGCCCCAAACUGCAAACAGCACUCAAGGUGGGGACACGCCAGAGGGACAAUCACCUCCCUUGACCAGAUGGCAGUGCUGUGCUUGAAUCCAACAGUACAAUGUAUAAUCCAAUAAUCUCCAAUGUAAAAAACAAAUGAACAAACAAACAGCUCACCAAAAAAUCUCUGCAAGGAAAUUAUUUAGUUAAGAUUGAAUUUCCUUACACAAUAGAAGUGAUAAUUCAUUCAUGCAAACCAGAAUGGUCCUGUCCCAUGUGGAUUUAUAUUCAUACCACCAUACAUUAACAAGUUCAAUCUGACAAACACAGUAUGUGUUUAGAAUGCUGCCUCCUGAAGCAUGGCAUCCAGUUUUAUGCUGGAAUUAAUGAAAAUUUCUUCAAUUUUUAUUCAUUGCAUUCAGAUGUGUGCUAAGAAAAUAAAUGCCUUACAAAGAGUGAACAUUCAAAAACCCCUGUUAUCUUAUGUAUUGAAAGACACUUCUUUUCAGAUCAGAUUUAAUGCAUGACAUUUACUGAGCAACUCUGUCAGGCAUUGUUGUUUUGUCUAAAUAAUUCUGCCAGAAAGAUUCAAAUUAAAAAA